rnacentral:lncRNA from 1 species
AACUAAUAAAUAAAGUAACAAAUUCUACACUAUCUCAUCGAUAAAGAUAAUGAUCAAGAGAGAAACUCUGAGCUGAAAAUACACGGAUAGAAUGCAAUUUAACAUCUCCAUGCAGCUACACUCAUGGAUGUUUAUAAAAAUCUUGUUUAAAUAUUCUUUUCCUCGAGACUAUCAGAUAGCACUUCCCAAUCUGACCACAGUAUCAUAAUCAUGAGUAAUAGGUCAUCUGUGGUAUCAUUGCAUUCUUAUGAGACUUCACCACCAGCAUAUAGCACUUCCCAAUCUGUCCACAGUAUCAUAAUCACGAGUAAUAGGUCAUCUGUGGUAUCAUUGCAUUCUUAUGAGACUUCACCACCAGCAUAAACAAGCCACUGUAGCCUAGGGUAGUAGAUAAAGCAGGCUAAGAGUAUGCC